rnacentral:tRNA from 1 species
AUUUUCUUAGUAUAACAGUACAUUUGACUUCCAAUCAGAAAGUCUAGAUUUUUCUAGAGAAAAUA